AACCAAUGUGCAGACUACUGUUCAGCUGCAGCCUGAUGAACAGGUAGUCUGAACACUGGGCAG
ensembl:miRNA microRNA 199b